UACGAAGGGUGCUAGCGUUGUUCGGAAUUACUGGGCGUAAAGCGCGCGUAGGCGGCUAUACAAGUCAGAGGUGAAAUCCCGGGGCUCAACCCCGGAACUGCCUUUGAAACUGUAUAGCUGGAGUGUGUGAGGGGAUGGCGGAAUUCCUAAUGUAGAGGUGAAAUUCGUAGAUAUUAGGAGGAACACCGGUGGCGAAGGCGGCCAUCUGGCACACAACUGACGCUGAGGCGACGAAAGCGUGGGGAUCAAACAGGGAUUAAGAAACCCUUUGGUAACGU
rnacentral:rRNA from 1 species